rnacentral:rRNA from 1 species
UACGUAGGUGGCAAGCGUUAUCCGGAAUUAUUGGGCGUAAAGAGUGAGCAGGCGGUCUGUUAAGUCUGAAGUUAAAUGCAGUUGCUCAACAACUGUUCGCUUUGGAUACUGGCAGGCUAGAGUGUAGGAGAGGCAAGUGGAAUUCCAUGUGUAGCGGUGAAAUGCGUAGAUAUAUGGAGGAACACCAGUGGCGAAGGCGACUUGCUGGCCUAUUACUGACGCUCAGUCACGAAAGCGUAGGGAGCAAAUA